rnacentral:rRNA from 1 species
GACGAACGCUGGCGGCGUGCUUAACACAUGCAAGUCGAACGGUGAAGCGCCUUCCUUUUUGGUGGGUGUGGAUGAGUGGCGAACGGGUGAGUAACACGUGAGUAACCUGCCCCCUUCUUCUGGAUAACCGCAUGAAAGUGUGGCUAAUACGGGAUAUUCUGGGUCUGUCGCAUGAUGGGUCUGGGAAAGAUAUUGUUUCGGUGGGGGAUGGGCUCGCGGCCUAUCAGCUUGUUGGUGGGGUGAUGGCCUACCAAGGCGGUGACGGGUAGCCGGCCUGAGAGGGUGGACGGUCACACUGGGACUGAGACACGGCCCAGACUCCUACGGGAGGCAGCAGUGGGGAAUAUUGAACAAUGGGCGCAAGCCUGAUGCAGCGACGCCGCGUGAGGGAUGGAGGCCUUCGGGUUGUGAACCUCUUUCGCCAGUGAAGCAGGCCUGCCUCGUUUGUGGGUGGGUUGACGGUAGCUGGAUAAGAAACGCCGGCUAACUACGU